rnacentral:rRNA from 1 species
GAUGAACGCUGGCGGCGUGCUUAACACAUGCAAGUCGAACGGAAAGGCUCCUGCUUGCAGGGGUACUCGAGUGGCGAACGGGUGAGUAACACGUGGGUGAUCUGCCCUGCACUUCGGGAUAAGCCUGGGAAACUGGGUCUAAUACCGGAUAGGACCACAUUUUGGAUGGUGUGGUGGAAAGUUUUUCGGUGUGGGAUGAGCUUGCGGCCUAUCAGCUUGUUGGUGGGGUAAUGGCCUACCAAGGCGUCGACGGGUAGCCGGCCUGAGAGGGUGUACGGCCACAUUGGGACUGAGAGACGGCGCAGACUCCUACGGGAGGCAGCAGUGGGGAAUAUUGCACAAUGGGCGCAAGCCUGAUGCAGCGACGCCGCGUGGGGGAUGACGGCCUUCGGGUUGUAAACUCCUUUCGCUAGGGACGAAGCGUUUUUGUGACGGUACCUGGAGAAGAAGCACCGGCUAACUACGUG